rnacentral:tRNA from 1 species
GAGGGUGUAGCUCAGUGGUAGAGUGCAUGCUUAUUGUACACGAGGUCCUGCAUUCAAUUCCUAGUACCUUCA